rnacentral:lncRNA from 1 species
UUAGGAAAAGGUUUUGGAUUGUUUGAUUUUCUUUUUUUUUUUUAACUGCACAACAAAUUCCAAAUUUUCAAAUCAAAUACAAUUUGCAAUCUUUUAAAUUUUUUUGCAGGUUACUAUAAAAAGAAAGUUAGCAUGUUUUGUAAAUCAUUUCAUUGUUACUUUGCUAUAAUAUGCAAAAAGAAAACCAACCAACUUUUAACAUUAAAUCUUAUAAUAUUUGAACACACAAUUCUCUCAAAACUUGACAGGAUGUGUGUGCUCCUAAUUACAUGUACCUUUGUUUGAAAAAUUUAAAACAAAUAUAUGCUAUUGUAACACAAAUUUCACAAGACAACAUAGUAGAUGUUAAUACUCCUUUUAAUUUUACAAAAAACUUAUAAUUGCAAAAAUAGGUAGA